AUACAGAGGGUGCGAGCGUUAAUCGGAUUUACUGGGCGUAAAGCGCGCGUAGGUGGUUAAUUAAGUCAAAUGUGAAAUCCCCGAGCUUAACUUGGGAAUUGCAUUCGAUACUGGUUAGCUAGAGUAUGGGAGAGGAUGGUAGAAUUCCAGGUGUAGCGGUGAAAUGCGUAGAGAUCUGGAGGAAUACCGAUGGCGAAGGCAGCCAUCUGGCCUAAUACUGACACUGAGGUGCGAAAGCAUGGGGAGCAAACAGGAUUAGAUACCCUGGUAGUCCAUGCCGUAAACGAUGUCUACUAGCCGUUGGGGGAUUUGAUCCUUUAGUGGCGCAGCUAACGCGAUAAGUAGACCGCCUGGGGAGUACGGUCGCAAGACUAAAACUCAAAUGAAUUGACGGGG
rnacentral:rRNA from 1 species